CACUGGAAACUUCCAUCCAUUGAUUGGCAUUCUUUGGGUUUAAAUUCUCCCUCCUUCACCUUGUUUGCCAGAAUAUCGGUGGUCACCUUCCCAGAGCUCAGAUGUAUGAGGUCCACAUUUGGGGAUGCAGGUACUCUUUAGAGAGAGGCAGAAUUUAUCAGUCACGGUAGACAUGCCUACUUUUACGGUGAAAGAGGUUUUUAAGACAUGUAUUGACAUUCGCUGACUGCAGAUUACAGUAGCUAUUUAUCAGUGGAGACUUCACCCUCUGG
rnacentral:lncRNA from 1 species